ACACUGUUGAUAUGUUUUACAGCAGUGCCAGGAAAACCAACGUCUGGCGCGCGGAAAAGAGUGAAACCAGAAGCCAGUGUUUGCAGAAGUACUGAGGCAUCCGUCAAACAGACAACACGAUGUGGUAAAAGGUUGGAGGCUGGUGUUUGUUUAGGUCUUUGGAAAUGUCAUCCUGCAGGCCACACUGAGGGACUGAAACACUCUCUAAACGCCCUCAGCAGUGGGCAGGAAACACAACACCCGCCUCGCACCUACGCCUGAGCCGGCAGGAAAUGAAGGGCCAGACAGAGCAACGUCUCAGACGCUGCAGGAACAAACAGCAUUCCUCUUUCCCUCGCUCAGCCUGUUCAGGGAGUCUGGGUUCAUUUCCAACACCAUGAAAUCCCAAAGAUUUGAGUGACUAAUUCAUCCACUAUUUUUAUCUCUUUGCUUAAUGUCAGUUUAUGCCACGAGAUGAACAGCUGGAGCUCUGUUCAAGGCUGCUGACAUUCACCUGUUAAAUAAUAAUGCCUUGAUCUCUCUGACAUAUUGAGGGAUUGACAUCACUGAACUCUUUUUGACCACAUGGUUCAAAUAGAAUUUUGAUUGGUUACACUUUAUUUUAAGGUGUCCUCAUUACAGUGUAAUUAUACAUUUAAAUAGUGUGUAAUAUUCAUUAACUACAUGUACUCAGGGUUAGGAUUAGGGUUUGGCUUAGUGUAACUUGCAUGUAAUUAUGCAUAAUUAGUUGUUAUUAUCAUAGUAAGAACAUGUAGCAUGUGUAACAAGGCACCUUAAAAUAGUAAAAGUGUUCGCUUUGAUUCUCUUUCAUGUUUUAUCAGUAUUUCAGGAAGCGGAAUCUGUUUUAUUUAUUUAUUUUUAUUUUUAACAAUAUAAAAUAAUGGUUGUAGCUUGUUUUACAGUACAGGUGCUGGUCAUAUAAUUAGAAUAUCAUCAAAAAGUUGAUUUCACUAAUUCCAUUCAAAAAGUGAAACUUGUAUAUUAUAUUCAUUCAUUACACACAGACUGAUAUAUUUCAAAUGUUUAUUUCCUUUAAUUUUGAUGAUUAUAACUGACAACUAAGGAAAAUCCCAAAUUCAGUAU
rnacentral:lncRNA from 1 species